rnacentral:rRNA from 1 species
AAUAAGCGGAGGAAAAGAAACCAACAGGGAUUGCCCUAGUAACGGCGAGUGAAGCGGCAACAGCUCAAAUUUGAAAUCUGGCUCUCGGGCCCGAGUUGUAAUUUGUAGAGGAUGCUUUUGAUGCGGUGCCUUCCGAGUUCCCUGGAACGGGACGCCGUAGAGGGUGAGAGCCCCGUCUGGUUGGAUGCCAAAUCUCUGUAAAGCUCCUUCGACGAGUCGAGUAGUUUGGGAAUGCUGCUCUAAAUGGGAGGUAUAUGUCUUCUAAAGCUAAAUACCGGCCAGAGACCGAUAGCGCACAAGUAGAGUGAUCGAAAGAUGAAAAGCACUUUGAAAAGAGAGUUAAAAAGUACGUGAAAUUGUUGAAAGGGAAGCGUUUAUGACCAGACUUGGGCUUGGUUAAUCAUCUGGGGUUCUCCCCAGUGCACUUUUCCAGUCCAGGCCAGCAUCAGUUUUCGCCGGGGGAUAAAGGCUUCGGGAAUGUGGCUCUCUCCGGGGAGUGUUAUAGCCCGUUGCGUAAUACCCUGGCGGGGACUGAGGUUCGCGCAUCUGCAAGGAUGCUGGCGUAAUGGUCAUCAACGACCCGUCUUGAAACACGGACCAAGGAGUCGUCUUCGUAUGCGAGUGUUCGGGUGUCAAACCCCUACGCGUAAUGAAAGUGAACGCAGGUGAGAGCUUCGGCGCAUCAUCGACCGAUCCUGAUGUUCUCGGAUGGAUUUGAGUAAGAGCAUACGGGGCCGGACCCGAAAGAAGGUGAACUAUGCCUGUGUAGGGUGAAGCCAGAGGAAACUCUGGUGGAGGCUCGCAGCGGUUCUGACGUGCAAAUCGAUCGUCAAACAUGGGCAUGGGGGCGAAAGACUAAUCGAACCUUCUAGUAGCUGGUUUCCGCCGAAGUUUCCC